rnacentral:miRNA from 1 species
AUCCAGACUGACAUCUCCUCAC